rnacentral:pre_miRNA from 1 species
CUCAACUCUACUCGAGUGAGGUAGAAACGUGGUAUUGCGUCAACAUGACGUCAUCCGUUUGAGAAUAUUUUGAU